rnacentral:lncRNA from 1 species
CUAAGUCCUGAAGAUACAAAGAAAAGAAAAAAUAAAUAGACCCCCACCUUAAGAAGAGUAUAUUUUACUGAUGAGAAACACAUUAAUAGAAAGGUCAAGUCCUCAGCUGAGAGGUACUGAUGAAGGAGUGGUUGAAACUUGAAGAGACAAAGUUUUCAACUACCACAAAGAAUCAUAAUUAAGGAAGAAAAGAAAGUAUCAUCAUGCAUCAGUGAGAUCCCAGAAUACUCUCCUCCCAUCUCUACAUACAGACAUUCUGCUCAUCCUUCAAGAUCUAAGUCACAUGCCACCACCUCCAGGAAGCCUAACUAAGUUAACUAAGUUCCCUAACUUGAACUUCCUCCUUUUCAGAUGAGGAAACCGAAGCCCACUGAAAUUGUGACUUCCCCAAGGUCAUAUGGGUCAUAAAUAGCAGAGCUGAGACUUGUACCAAAUCCCGAGUCUAGCAUUCUUUCCAUUGUACUGUGUUGCCCCUGUGCCAGUGUUUCCCAUUAUCCCAUAUUGACUCAUUGAACAGAAGAGGAGAGCAUCUCUGUAUGAAAAUAUAUUUGGGGCUUUGAGAUUGGAUAAUCUUCAUGGGAUUAAUGGGCAGGGGCUCCAUUGAAAGCAGAUUUUUGGCUCUGCCUACAUACUAACCUGCCAUUUUCUUUUUACAGUCAUCCAAAUUAAGCAUUAAUUUAUUUCCUCAAAUUG